AGUGAACGCUGGCGGUAGGCCUAACACAUGCAAGUCGAACGGCAGCACAGUAAGAGCUUGCUCUUACGGUUGGCGAGUGGCGGACGGGUCAGGAAUACAUCGGAAUCUACUUUUUCGUGGGGGAUAACGUAGGGAAACUUACGCUAAUACCGCAUACGACCUACGGGUGAAAGCAGGGGAUCUUCGGACCUUGCGCGAUUGAAUGAGCCGAUGUCGGAUUAGCUAGUUGGCGGGGUAAAGGCCCACCCAGGCGACGAUCCGUAGCCGGUCUGAGAGGAUGGUCAGGCACACUGGAACGGAGACGCGGUCCAGACUACUACGGGAGGCAGCGGUGGGGAAGAUUGGACAAUGGGCGCAAGCCUGAUCCAGCCAUACCGCGUGGGUGAAGAAGGCCUUCGGGUUGUAAAGCCCUUUUGUUGGGAAAGAAAAGCAGCAGGUUAAUACCCCGCUGUUCUGACGGUACCCAAAGAAUAAGCACCGGCUAACUACGUG
rnacentral:rRNA from 1 species